rnacentral:rRNA from 1 species
UACGUAGGGGGCGAGCGUUGUCCGGAAUCAUUGGGCGUAAAGCGCGUGUAGGCGGCCCGGUAAGUCCGCUGUGAAAGUCCAGGGCUCAACCCUGGGAUGCCGGUGGAUACUGUCGGGCUCGAGUCCGGAAGAGGCGAGUGGAAUUCCCGGUGUAGCGGUGAAAUGCGCAGAUAUCGGGAGGAACACCUAUGGCGAAGGCAGCUCGCUGGGACGUUACUGACGCUGAGACGCGAAAGCGUGGGGAGCAAACAGG